rnacentral:misc_RNA from 1 species
UCAUGCGCACACGACUCUCCAUCGGCAAUUCUCGCUUUCUAUCACCGUCUUCCUUUCUUGGGCUUCACACGCGGCUGCAUUGUUUCGACGCCCACAGAAACAACUGAAGAAAGAGACAUAGGUUUACUGUCUUUUAUCUCCGUUCUCCGAUCGAAAGUAGUAUCACUGCAUCUCUCUGAGUGUGUGUGUGUGUGAGCCGUCUUCCCUCGUCUCGUUCCCCAGCCCCAAGAAGCGCUUCCUUAUCUCAACCAACAAGAUGUCUGCAUCCGAUGGCCAGGGAAUGCGGGCAGUGAUUCUGGUCGGCGGCUUUGGCACUCGGCUCCGUCCGCUGACGCUGACGACGCCGAAGCCCCUCGUCCCAUUUUGCAACAAGCCGAUGAUCAUUCACCAAAUCGAGGCAUUGAAGGCGGUCGGCGUAACGGAGGUGAUUCUAGCUGUGGCGUACCGGCCGGAGGCGAUGAAGGAGCAGAUGGACGAGUGGUCACGGAAGCUUGGUGUUUCCUUCGUGUUCUCCGUCGAGGAGGAGCCGCUCGGCACGGCCGGCCCGCUUGCACUCGCCCGCGAUAUCCUGAUGCAGGAUGACAAGCCUUUUUUUGUGCUCAACUCCGAUGUCACCUGUACGUUUCCGAUGCAGGAGCUGCUGGACUUCCACAAGGCGCACGGCGGCGAGGGCACCAUCAUGGUCUCGCAGGUGACGCAGUGGGAGAAGUACGGUGUCGUCGUCUACUCGCCGCAGAAUUACCAGAUCGAGCGGUUUGUGGAGAAGCCGAGCAGAUUUCUUGGGGACCGAAUCAACGCCGGCAUUUAUAUCUUCAACAAGAGCAUCCUGGACCGCAUUCCUCCCCGCCGAACAUCCAUCGAGAAGGAGAUCUUCCCUGCGAUGGCCGCGGAGGGGCAGCUCUACGCAUUCAACCUGGAGGGCUUCUGGAUGGAUGUCGGCCAGCCCAAGGACUACAUCCUUGGUAUGACCAAGUUCAUUCCGUCCUUGGUUCAUGGGAACCGCGAAACGGAGCAGUUACACACGGAGGCCAUGGAACACCAGCGUGGCGGCCGCUUCACUGUGAUCGGCGCCUCUCUGAUUGACCCCUCCGCAAAGAUCGGCGAUGGCGCCGUGAUUGGCCCCUAUGCUUCGAUUGGCGCCAACUGCGUUAUUGGCGAGUCGUGCCGCAUCGAUAAUGCUGCCAUCUUGGAGAACUCCAAGGUCGGCAAGGGUACAAUGGUGUCUCGCAGCAUUGUGGGCUGGAACAACCGUAUCGGCAGCUGGUGCCACAUCAAGGACAUAUCUGUGCUGGGCGAUGACGUGGAGGUCAAGGAUGGCGUGAUUCUCAUCGGCACCAAAGUGCUCCCCAACAAGGAUGUCGGCGAGCACCGCUUCGAGCCUGGGAUCAUCAUGUAGUGCUGCAUCGACGUCGAGGCAUGCGCGGUGCUUCAUGGUGCGCGGCGAAUGCGUUUAGUGUACUUCCUUUUUGCCGGUGUGUGUGAUCCGUUGGGUAUCAUAUCAUGGGCGACAAGGGAAACCGGAUACAGCGGUACUGGCACCCACGUACAUGCACUCACACGCGGUUACUUACACGCACAUGCUCAGCAGUGGCAGGUGAAUGGUAGGAAAGAGGAUGGUGGGGAUGGCUCUCAACGCUGUCUGCACGUGAUCGUGCGCGGGAGGACGACGAAUGGCUGUGAAGCGACACGCCAGUGCAAGUGUAGCACCUAUGACACUCUCUCGGUCGUUCUUUUAGCAUCCUUCCCUCUCUUGUUUCUCACUUUGUUUGUUCUUCGGUUGUUGCCUCUCAUUCCGCCCUUCCUUAUUGUAUCGCCUCGCUCAGCUGAUGAGCAUCCUGAAAGACAAAACACAUCCUAACCUACCUUUUUGGUCUGCCAACCCAUCUCCCUUCUGUUUUCCUCUUCACGCUUUCUCCGUCUCCUUCUCUCCUCCCCCUCGCUGCCCCAUACACACACCCUUCCGUUUUCCCCGUCUGCUCUUCUUUCUUUUCUGGUGUCUGUUCUUGCGUUGGCUUGCCUUUGUUACGGGUGUUGUCUUCUUUCCUUUUGUUUGCCUUUGCUUUCUCCUCUCAUUCUGUCUUUGAUAUUAGCAGUUAGAUCUCUCCCUCUCUUAGAGAGAGACUGGAAACCCCCUUUUCUUUUCGCAAUACUUGUAUGCAUGCACUUGCUUCAACCGGUGCUCGUUCGCUUCCGCCUCGACAGCGUCUGUCGAACUGCCGACCUAUGCACCUCUCUAUGCAUUUCCGUAUGCAUGUGUGGGUGUGGGUGCUGGCAGGAGUAGAAAAGGGCAGACGAUGCCGUACUAAGCAAUGCUUGAGCUAUGAAGCAAGCAGCUGGAGAAAUAAAAACGCACGCACGGCGCUUGCAGUAUCCGUAUAGGAGCGAAGACGACAUUGUUUCUCUACUUUCGGCGCUUCCCUUCUCGCUAUCUUUUUUUCAGAUGCCAUGAAGGUAGCGCAUACAGUCGCACACAUGCGCGGAUACGCAAACGCGCACAAACCGGUUACGGCAUAUCUUCUCUGUAACAGGCGAAUAUGUGAGUGUUUAGCAUUGGUUGCGUGGCGCAUCUGCUUGUUUCUACGCGUUCUUUGUGUGUGUAGAGGGGGAUGCGAAUGGCUCUACUCUUCUGGAAGCACGAUGCCUGUAAUCGAGCGGAAGAUACGAAAAAAAUCAGAGGACGUGCAGGAGAAAGGAAGGGAGAGAAAAGCAAACUUCCGACAGCCAAAGGGCUGUUAUCAUACGCGAUGCCCUCGAGUGUUUCAUACUAUGAGAAAAGUUCUCCGUGAUUGUACAUGUACCCAGGCCGAAGGGCGAUCCUAGUUGCAUCCAGAAGUGCGUUCGCUGAGUUGUUUUGAGAGGGGAAAAUACAGAAGCCGAAAAGAGACAGCCAACCAAAAACCACGGCAAAUGGACAACAGAAAGGAAACAUGCGAAGGAGUAAAGCCGCUUCCUUUCCACUCCACAGUGUGAUAGUCGGCGCCCCGCACCCUUUUCCGUCCUCGCCCCUCCUCAACCACCACUCCUGCCGCCUCGUUGCCGGCCUUUGCACCCAUCGCCGCUUUCGCCUUGAUGUCUUCUCACCCUUUUCCCUUUAACGUUCUGCUUCCUACCCUGUUUCUUUCUCUGCGUCUCUCUCCCCACCCUACUUUGCCGAACCGGGAGGGGGGGGGGGCAGAGAAACAGAAAUGAAAAAACGGGAAAAACAGACGAGCAGCAUAGUUAGGUAAGGAGGGUGAAAGAGGCGACUGCGUGUGUGCGCGUGUUUCUGUCUCUCGGAAAAAGAAUCGACGCGCUUCGGAAAACAUAUUCGAGUAUGAAGGUGAGUAGGGAUGGGGGCGGAGCGGGGGAGGAUGCGAGGAGUAAAGAGAAACGGUGAAGGGUGUGCGUGUGUGUGCGUGUGCACGGGCCGUGGAAGAUAAAGGCAGAUGCUGCCGUAAGGGAGAAGCACAAAGCUCUCCUGUUUUUGGUGUUUUCCUCUUCUCAGAUGUGCUUUUCCUCUUCCUGUCUCCCCUUCUCUCUUACCGGCUUCGUCCUCCGUUGCCAUUGUUUUUCUUCGGUUCCGUGUGCGUAUGUCUCUCGCCUCCCGCAUAUAUCUCUUGGAUGUGUAUUUUUUGUUUUGUUUUUCUUCGGCUUGGCUGCACCAUUCUUCCCAUUUUGCUGUUUUUGCGGUUCACUAUUUUACUCCUUCGCUUUUUCUCCCCGCCCAUUGAUUGUAUCUCCGCCCGCGUUUGCUCUUUCUCUUCUUGCUCUGCCGCUCUGCCGCUCUGCAUAUGCCGUCGCGUUUCGUUCGUUUAUGUGGAAGCUGAGCCUCGCGGAGGAGUAGGCGAGAGGGCGUGCAGGCGCGCGAGCGUGUGUGUGCACGUGCUUUUUGGGACAAGUUGAUUGCUCUAUAUCUUCUGCUUCGAGUGUAAGAGGAGACGGACGGGCACGAGACGAU